UACAGAGGUCUCAAGCGUUGUUCGGAUUCAUUGGGCGUAAAGGGUGCGUAGGCGGCGGGGUAAGUCUGAUGUGAAAUCCCGGGGCUCAACCCCGGAACUGCAUUGGAUACUGCCUUGCUUGAGUACUGGAGAGGAGAUUGGAAUUUACGGUGUAGCAGUGAAAUGCGUAGAUAUCGUAAGGAAGACCAGUGGCGAAGGCAAAUCUCUGGACAGUUACUGACGCUGAGGAGCGAAAGCGUGGGGAGCGAACAGG
rnacentral:rRNA from 1 species